rnacentral:rRNA from 1 species
UACGUAGGGACCAAGCGUUGUUCGGAUUUACUGGGCGUAAAGGGCGCGUAGGCGGCGUGGUAAGUCAGCUGUGAAAUCUCCGAGCUUAACUCGGAACGGUCAGCUGAUACUGCUGUGCUAGAGUACAGAAAGGGCAAUCGGAAUUCUUGGUGUAGCGGUGAAAUGCGUAGAUAUCAAGAGGAACACCUGAGGCGAAGGCGGGUUGCUAGGCUGAUACUGACGCUGAGGAGCGAAAGCGUGGGGAGCGAACAGG